AGAGAGAGCAAUAACAGGUCUGUAAUGCCCUGAGAUGCUCUGGGCCGCACGCGAGUUACAAUGCUGGGUACAGCGGGUCUAACUUUUCCUUUGGCCGAAAGGUCAGGGUAAUCCUCUGAAAUCCCAGGAUCAAAUCGCAGGCUUUGAAACACGGAGCAUGCUUGGGACUGGGGCGUUGCAACUAUCUCUCACUAACGAGGAAUCCCUUGUAAUGGCCGAGUCACGUAACUUGCAGCGACUCAGUCCCUGCCCUUUGUACACACCGCCCGUCGCUACUACCGAUUGAGUGUUCCAGUGAGAGUCUUGGACUGGCGAACCAUCAACUAUGCGCGUGCGCACGCUUUCAAAGGCGUGCCCGCGUAUUCGGUGGCGACGACGGAAAGAGACUCUGAACUGGUGCACUUAGAGGAAGUAAAA
rnacentral:rRNA from 1 species